GCACUCACUGUCUUACGGUCCCGAAGCGCUUUAAGGUGCGCAGUCCGCAGGCCUUGCCUACUGAUCUUCCAGCCACCCCUUGAAGGAAGCAGUUGCAGACGCUGAGCACAGUGCCAAACCUAUAUAGAAACUCAUUUGGGAUAUGGAGGAGAAUAUGCCACCAGUUCUCCAAAGUGGAGGGAACAAUGGCCAUUAACAGGCAUGGAACUGGAGCAGAAAUGGAAUGAACCCUAGGGGCCUGGGAGCCUGGAGGGGUGUAGGAGUGGGGAGGGGAUUGGGGAGACAGGCGGCAGAGGAAAGCGCCUGCCCUCGCCUCCUCCCAUCACCCCCUAUACCCCUGUCCCUAAUGAGGUGCUUCUGGCGGCACCUGACUUUUCCAUUGCAAACACCACUUGACUCUCGGCCCUUCACACUCUCAUGAGGUUCUAAGGGGCUGCACAGGCGCCGCCCACCCCAGCCAUGCCCUGGGACUCACCACACACCAGGAAGGCCGGGAGCUGCAGCAAGGGGACAGCUUAAAACAGCCCCACCAACACCCCAAAGUGGGUCUCCCAGUUCCCCGAGAAGGCCUGGAUGCCCUGCUGAAGGGUGAGCAGGGCCAUGUGGGUGACUUGGAGGACCCAAUUCCCCGGCCAUGGGAACCCCCAGCCUGGGCUUUCUUUGGGGGUAGCUGAGACAACGAGCCCCCACCCAGAGCAGGAGAUGACGCAUUUUUUCUGUGGCCACAAGCCACUUUGACGGGUCCGCCCCACUGGGGAGCAACCGAAACC
rnacentral:lncRNA from 1 species